UGCGUUUAUGCAGUUUUGUGCACGGUGCACGGUCAAUGAACACGUUGUAUUUUAUUAUAAUGAACGAAUCAUCCAAUAUCAACGUUUCAAUACAGUCAUUCAACCACGCUAUUUAAAUAUUAAUAAACCUAAAACAAAGGAUGUGCACGGUACGGCUCAACAUAAAAUCCCGGCUCAUUAUAACUUUGCUUUAAAAUUUACUGAGUUUCCAGACCAUGUCUCGAAAGACUAUGAUCUACAUUGAAUUUGCACUAGACGUGUUUGAAGCCGAUUAAUAAACUCGCAGGUCGUGUUUUAGUAGGUCUAAACCUAAUAAAACACUCCUGCUCGUUUAUUAAACCGUACUAAAUACAUAUAUAUAGAUGGGGUUUUUCUAGAUGGAGUUUUCGAAUGAAAAUAAUUAUAUAUACAAUUUUAGGCCCUUCGGCAGGAAUCGAACUUGCGGUCCUUGCGAUUGCGGUGUAUUUUUAGCAGCUGCUCCCGCGGUUAGGUCUAAAUUGUAUACAAAUUUUCGUUUAAAAAUUCCAUCUACAUUCAGUUAUAUCGCACGAGAUACCC